GACUCCGUGAGUAGCGGCGAGCGAAAGCGGAUUGCGACUUAAGUCAGUGAACGCGUUGGAAAGCGCGGCCAAAGAAGGUGAUAGCCCUGUAGUUGGAUGAUGUCGCUCAGCCCUAGAGUAGCGUCGGUGUCGUGAAACCCGGCGUGAACAUGGGGGGUCCACCCUCCAAGGCUAAGUACUACUUGACGACCGAUAGUUAACCAGUAAGGCGACUGAAUGAUGAAAACUACCCCUGCUAGGGGUGUGAAAGAGUAGCUGAAACCAUGUGCUUACACAGCGGUCAGAGCCCUUCGGGGUGAUGGCGUGCCUUUUGCAUAAUGACCCGGCGAGUUACUCUCAUUGGCGAGGUUAAGGCCUAGCGGGCCGAAGCCGAAGCGAAAGCGAGUCUGAAAUAGGCGUUGAGUCGAUGGGAGUAGACGCGAAACCUUGUGAUCUACCCAUGGGCAGGCUGAAGGCCGGGUAAAACCGGCUGGAGGGCCGAACGCACCAACGUUGAAAAGUUGGGCGAUGACCUGUGGGGAGGACUAAAAGUGUAAUCAAACUGGGAGAUAGCUCGUUCUCUCCGAAAUAUUUUUAGGAAUAGCCUCUUGCGGCAACUGUUGGGGGUAGAGCCACUGGAUACGGAUGGGGCCCUCGGGUACCCACUGUAACCAAACUCCGAAUACCAACAGCCAAGGCAAGGGAGUCAGCCCACGAGUGACAAUAUCCGUGGACAAAAGGGAAACAUCCCAGACCGCCAGCUAAGGUCCCUGAACAUUGCUUAGUUCUAAAGGAAGUCGAAGCGCAAAGACAGCCAGGAUGUUGGCUUAGAAGCAGCCACCAUUUAA
rnacentral:rRNA from 1 species